CAGCACCUCAAGUGGUCAGGAUGAUUAUUGGGUCUAAAGCGUCCGUAGCCUGUUUGAUAAGUCUUUUGUGAAAUCGUUGGGCUUAACCUAACGCUGUGCAAAAGAUACUGUCAGACUUGGAACUGGGAAGAGCUAGAGGUAUUCUGGGGGGAGCGGUAAAAUGCUAUAAUCCUCGGAGGACCACCAGUGGCGAAAGCGUCUAGCUAGAACAGCUUCGACGGUGAGGGACGAAAGCCAGGGGAGCAAAACGGAUUAGAUACCCGAGUAGUCC
rnacentral:rRNA from 1 species